AACGCACAUUGCGCUCUCUGGUAUUCCGGAGAGCAUGCCCGUUUCAGAAUCAGCAACAAUCUUCGUACCAACUUGCUUUCGUCUUGCUUGCAAGACGGAGGCGCCUGUUGGGCGGAAUUUGGAUCCACGUGUUUCCCGCUCGUCCGGGAGACAGGUCCUCAUUGCAUGGGAACUGCUGAGGUGCCGUCAUGGAACCUGGCGAAGCAGCAACAGAAAACUCCGGUUUUUUAUGUUCAACUCUUCACCUUGUGUUUGCAUUGCGCACUGUCCGGCCUUCCGAAUCGCCUCCGCGGCAAUUUCAAAAACUUGGUCUGAAAUCGGGCAAGAAAACCCGCUGAACUUAA
rnacentral:misc_RNA from 1 species